AUAAAAGCGUUCCGUAGACGGAGAUUGCUUCUAGUAUUUCCUGGCGCCAUGUCUUCGGCAUUCGUCCUAACUUUCUUCUCUCUUCUGAUAUGCGUCGAUCUCUCGGCAGUACAAGACGAGAAAAGAAUAUUCGGAGGAAGAUUCGCCAAUCCGGGAGAAUUUCCUUGGAUGGUAUUCAUCAGAUUGACCGAUGAACUGAAUUGUAGCGGGUUCCUGAUUUCUCCGUCCUACGUGUUGACUGCGGCUCAUUGCAUGAUCAGGU